GGGCAUGUAGCUCAGGGGUGGAGUGCUUGCCUAGCAUGUGUGAAGCCCUGGAUUCGAUUCCCAGCACAGCCA
rnacentral:tRNA from 1 species